GACGAACGCUGGCGGCGUGCUUAACACAUGCAAGUCGAACGGGAACCUUUAUUUCGGUAAAGGUGAGAGUGGCAAACGGGUGAGUAACACGUAGGCAACCUGCCGACAGGAUGGGGACAACAUUCCGAAAGGAAUGCUAAUACCGAAUGAAGUCACCGGAGGGCAUCCUCUGGUGAUGAAAGAUGGCCUCUGAAUAUGCUAUCACCUGUCGAUGGGCCUGCGUCUGAUUAGCCAGUUGGCGGGGUAACGGCCCACCAAAGCGACGAUCAGUAGCCGGUCUGAGAGGAUGAACGGCCACAUUGGGACUGAGACACGGCCCAGACUCCUACGGGAGGCAGCAGUGGGGAAUCUUCCACAAUGGGCGAAAGCCUGAUGGAGCAACGCCGCGUGAGUGAAGAAGGUCUUCGGAUCGUAAAGCUCUGUUGCACGGGACGAAAACCGAGCUUGAGAAUAUUGAG
rnacentral:rRNA from 1 species